UACGUAGGUGGCAAGCGUUAUCCGGAUUUAUUGGGUUUAAAGGGUGCGUAGGCGGGCUUUUAAGUCAGCGGUAAAAAUUCGGGGCUCAACCCCGUCCGGCCGUUGAAACUGGGGGUCUUGAGUGGGCGAGAAGAAGGCGGAAUGCGUGGUGUAGCGGUGAAAUGCAUAGAUAUCACGCAGAACCCCGAUUGCGAAGGCAGCCUUCCGGCGCCCUACUGACGCUGAGGCACGAAAGUGCGGGGAUCGAACAGG
rnacentral:rRNA from 1 species